CCUACGUGUGGCAGCAGUGAGGAAUAUUGGUCAAUGGGCGGAAGCCUGAACCAGCCAAGUAGCGUGCGGGAUGACGGCCCUACGGGUUGUAAACCGCUUUUGCACGGGGAUAACACCCUCCACGUGUGGAGGUCUGCAGGUACCGUGCGAAUAAGCGUCGGCUAAUUCCGUGCCAGCAGCCGCGGUAAUACGGAGGACACGAGCGUUAUCCGGAUUUAUUGGGCUUAAAGGGAGCGUAGGCGGGCGUUCAAGUCAGCGGUAAAAUCGCGCGGCUCAACCGCGUCGCGCCGUUGAAACUGGACGCCUUGAGUUCACGACAGGCAGGCGGAAUUCGUGGUGUAGCGGUGAAAUGCAUAGAUAUCACGAGGAACCCCGAUUGCGAAGGCAGCAUGCCGGCGUGCGACUGACGCUGAGGCUCGAAGGUGCGGGUAUCAAACAGGAUUAGAUACCCCUGUAGUC
rnacentral:rRNA from 1 species